UAGUGGUAAGAAUUCCACGUUGUGGCCGUGGAGACCUGGGCUCGAAUCCCAGCAGCCACAAAUGACAUUAUUUUUCCUUUUUCCCUCAACCGGCACCUAUCCCUAAACGAUGACGUAUUUGCAAGUCCCUUUGUUGCAUCCAGCAUUGACAAAUCAAAACAUCACAGAUUGUGUAUUACACAAAGAUCUAUUAUCGAAUCGCUGCCGGCUGAGUUUCAUCCCCAAUUACCACCGUAAGUGCUCAAACUCACAUCCAGAUUCUUUCUCGUUUUUCGAUUCACGACUUAAUUUUUGUGAUUCUCGUUCAUUUCUUAUUUGACGGUUGUUAGACGUUUAUUUAUUUUAGUUAAUUGAUCUGUAUAUUGAAUGCGAGUUUAAAUUGUUAAUCCUCUGAAUAUGGGUAAUUCAAUUAGCGAUCUGACUGUACUCGUAGUUUUCUUAUUUAUUUAUUUUUAUUGCUGUAAAUUAAGUGAUCUGAUUAGGUAGCAUCUUUUCGAUUACCAUUAAACUUGCUCUUUGCCAAGUGAAUUACUCGCAAAUUUGGAUGUGUUAAGCCACUUUUUAUACCCAUUUUUUAAACUUCCUCUUUUCAUUGUUUUUGAAGAUCGACUAGAAUUCCCAAAACUUUCUAUGAAUAGGUUUUGGAUUUUGACUGCAAGAAAAUGAUGGAGGAAACUAGUGUAUUUUGUUGGGAAGAUGUCUAUUGAUGAGAUAACUUGUGCUGGUAGCUUCCUCGUUGAAACAACUGCAUAAGAUGCUGAAAACAAAUUUGGGUAAAUGACCUUGGUUCUAUUUUAAUCUGGUCGGGGAUAUUCUGGGAUAGAUCAAAUGUGAUCACACGAAGAUUUUAUCACAUUUGCAUUAGAAAUAACAAAAGUUGCCUUCUAUUGAAAGUAAAGUUUUAGGAGGUCCAUUGCAUUAUGGUGGAGUUCACAAAUUAACAUGGUUCGACUUGUGAUGUCUAGAUAUUCUGUCUGUCGUGAAAAUUCACCCAAGGACUUGGAUUUCGUGUGCAAAUCGGGCUCAGUAACACCAACCCAGUUGAUGGCUCAACCCACAACAAUCUCAGUACGGUUGCCCUGUUAAUUUAACCCACAAAGGAUCAAGAAUAAUGGUGGCUGCAAUUACCACAAAUACUAAUCCUUCUGUUGGCAUCUUCUUCUCUUUUAUGCGCCAAUUGCAUGUGCUUGUACUCAGUAAUUGUUUCUUCUACCCAAUUUUCUUUCUUUCUUAAGAAGAAAAGUCUUACCAUUUUCCUUCCUCUCUUCCCAAAAUCCCUCAUUCUUUCUUCCCUUAAUAAGGAAUUCAAGGCCUAUUUAUUGGACUUUGUAUUUGCUUUGUAUGCUUUUUUGCCUGUCCAGUUCUUUGUGAUUUCUUCAGCUGCAUCUCAAGAACUGCAGGGAACACGAGAGGGCAAGUCGCAAGUUUCAAAGUUAGAUGUGGUCUCAGUAAGGCACCUGCUGCCUCUGGGAUUGGCUCUGAUUCAUGUUAUAAAAUAUUAAAAAGUGGCCAUUCCACAUUGUGGGUUGUUUGAGGAUGGGGUGUGGGUUCAACUAGUAAAUUUUGGUGUGGUCAGCAAAAUGUCAUUGUCUUUUGUGAUGUUGUCCUAUUUGUUAAUUAAGCCUUUAAAGGAAUCAAAGAAAAUGAGAAUUUUUUUGGAAAUAUUGCUCACGAAUACAAGGUUGAGAUGGUGGUAAAUGAUGGUUUUCGAGUUUAAGUGGGAGAUCUUGAUUGUCAUAACCUGGGUCUUUCUUCAUUAAAACUUUACUUCGUGCAAUAAUUCAUAUAUGGUUUACUCGGUGUGCGCCUGGUACAUUGCUAUGUGCUACUUCUUUCAUUCACAAUUUCUGAUUAGCAAUUAUAUAUCAUUGACAUUGUUUUUGCAUUUAUUGUAACAGAUGAUUGACGAUCAGGACCUGGGCUUCUUUGCCAACUUUCUUGGCAUCUUUAUAUUUGCACUUGUGAUUGCUUAUCAUUAUGUAAUGGCUGACCCAAAAUAUGAUGGCAACUAAGGAGUUGCUUUGAUAUCAACCUACAGUAUGAGUGUUUUUUCAGUUUAGUUUUGUUGACACAGUUUUCAGGAAUGAUUACUUUUCUGUGGCAAGAGCUUCCCUGAGACAAAUUUAUCCUUGCUGCUAAUUCAUGGAUAAACUUGGAAAACAGUAGCAGUAAUCUGAAACUUAUUUUGCCUUUCUACACACACACACACACAUAUAUAUUAGGCAUCUUUAUACCUUCUUUUUUGAAAAAUUCCAUCUUCUAAGCAUGAUUUUGCUGUGUUUAUGCAUGUCAGUGUAGUUUUUGUACAAUGAUAGGUGGGACGGAAUAGGUAGUUUGCCUGUUGGAUUUCAUGUCACGGAGAAAGUGGUAGAAACCUUACUGCCAGAUUGAAGAUUUCGUGAACAGAAAUUACUAAUUAGGAAUCUAUUAUGUAACAGAGAGUCACACUUUUUCUGUACAAUUUUGAUACGAGAGGAUACUUGGGAAAAAAAGGGGUUUUAGGCGUAUUUAGUUAGUUUUGAACUCUUGCGGUUCAUCAACUAGUUUAUUUAACUACACGUUUCUUCCAUGUGAGGACCGUA
rnacentral:lncRNA from 1 species